rnacentral:rRNA from 1 species
GUGUCAGCAGCCGCGGUAAUACGUAGGUGGCAAGCGUUGUCCGGAAUUAUUGGGCGUAAAGCGCGCGCAGGCGGCCUUUUAAGUCUGAUGUGAAAGCCCCCGGCUCAACCGGGGAGGGUCAUUGGAAACUGGAAGGCUUGAGUGCAGAAGAGAAGAGCGGAAUUCCACGUGUAGCGGUGAAAUGCGUAGAGAUGUGGAGGAACACCAGUGGCGAAGGCGGCUCUUUGGUCUGUAACUGACGCUGAGGCGCGAAAGCGUGGGGAGCGAACAGGAUUAGAUACCCUGGUAGUCC